rnacentral:rRNA from 1 species
AACAAGGUCUCCGUUGGUGAACCAGCGGAGGGAUCAUUACCGAGUUUACAACUCCCAAACCCCUGUGAACAUACCUUAAUGUUGCCUCGGCGGAUCAGCCCGCGCCCCGUAAAACGGGACGGCCCGCCAGAGGACCCAAACUCUAAUGUUUCUUAUUGUAACUUCUGAGUAAAACAAACAAAUAAAUCAAAACUUUCAACAACGGAUCUCUUGGUUCUGGCAUCGAUGAAGAACGCAGCAAAAUGCGAUAAGUAAUGUGAAUUGCAGAAUUCAGUGAAUCAUCGAAUCUUUGAACGCACAUUGCGCCCGCUGGUAUUCCGGCGGGCAUGCCUGUUCGAGCGUCAUUUCAACCCUCAAGCCCCCGGGUUUGGUGUUGGGGAUCGGCUCUGCCUUCUGGCGGUGCCGCCCCCGAAAUACAUUGGCGGUCUCGCUGCAGCCUCCAUUGCGUAGUAGCUAACACCUCGCAACUGGAACGCGGCGCGGCCAUGCCGUAAAACCCCAACUUCUGAAUGUUGACCUCGGAUCAGGUAGGAAUACCC